AUUGAACGCUGGCGGCAUGCCUUACACAUGCAAGUCGAACGGCAGCAUAGAGAGCUUGCUCUCUGAUGGCGAGUGGCGAACGGGUGAGUAAAGCAUCGGAACGUACCGUGUAGUGGGGGAUAACGUAGCGAAAGUUACGCUAAUACCGCAUACGCACUGAGGUGGAAAGCAGGGGAUCGCAAGACCUUGCGCUAUACGAGCGGCCGAUGUCAGAUUAGCUAGUUGGUAGGGUAAAGGCCUACCAAGGCGACGAUCUGUAGCGGGUCUGAGAGGAUGAUCCGCCACACUGGGACUGAGACACGGCCCAGACUCCUACGGGAGGCAGCAGUGGGGAAUUUUGGACAAUGGGGGCAACCCUGAUCCAGCCAUGCCGCGUGAGUGAAGAAGGCCUUCGGGUUGUAAAGCUCUUUCGGCCGGGAAGAAAUCGCACAGGCUAAUACUCUGUGUGGAUGACGGUACCGGCAUAAGAAGCACCGGCUAACUACGUGCCAGCCGCCGCCGUAA
rnacentral:rRNA from 1 species